UGGGGAAUUUUGGACAAUGGGGGCAACCCUGAUCCAGCCAUGCCGCGUGAGUGAAGAAGGCCUUCGGGUUGUAAAGCUCUUUCGGCGGGGACGAAACGGUCCGUGACAACACCACGGACUAAUGACAGUACUCGCAGAAGAAGCACCGGCUAACUACGUGCCAGCAGCCGCGGUAAUACGUAGGGUGCAGGCGUUAAUCGGAAUUACUGGGCGUAAAGCGUGCGCAGGCGGCUCCUUAAGUCAGAUGUGAAAUCCCCGGGCUUAACCUGGGAACUGCAGCUGAUACUGUGUGACUAGAGUCGAAGAGAGGGAAGCGGAAUUUCCGGUGUAGCGGUGAAAUGCGUAGAUAUCGGAAGGAACAUCUGUGGCGAAGGCGGCCACCUGGUUGGAUACUGACGCUGAGACGUGAAAGCGUGGGGAGCAAACAGGAUUAGAUACCCCAGUAGUCCCUGAGCGGGCUGGCAAGGCGCAU
rnacentral:rRNA from 1 species